rnacentral:rRNA from 1 species
GUCGAGUUGGCUUAGGGAUACGUUCGUUGGGUAGGGGAGCGUUCUGUAAGCCGUUGAAGGUGUGUCGUGAGGCAUGCUGGAGGUAUCAGAAGUGCGAAUGCUGACAUAAGUAACGAUAAAGCGGGUGAAAAGCCCGCUCGCCGGAAGACCAAGGGUUCCUGUCCAACGUUAAUCGGGGCAGGGUGAGUCGACCCCUAAGGCGAGGCCGAAAGGCGUAGUCGAUGGGAAACGGGUUAAUAUUCCCGUACUUGGUGUUACUGCGAAGGGGGGACGGAGAAGGCUAUGUUGGCCGGGCGACGGUUGUCCCGGUUUAAGCGUGUAGGCUGACUUUCCAGGCAAAUCCGGAGAGUCAAGGCUGAGGCGUGACGACGAGGCACCACGGUGCUGAAGCAACAAAUGCCCUGCUUCCAGGAAAAGCCUCUAAGCCUCAGGUAACAUCAAAUCGUACCCCAAACCGACACAGGUGGUCAGGUAGAGAAUACCAAGGCGCUUGAGAGAACUCGGGUGAAGGAACUAGGCAAAAUGGUGCCGUAACUUCGGGAGAAGG